rnacentral:rRNA from 1 species
UACGUAGGGUGCGAUCGUUAAUCGGAAUUACUGGGCGUAAAGCGUGCGCAGGCGGUUUUGUAAGCCAGAUGUGAAAUGCCCGGGCUUAACCUGGGAAUGGCAUUUGGGACUGCAAGGCUGGAGUAUGGCAGAGGGGACUGGAAUUCCUGGUGUAGCAGUGAAAUGCGUAGAUAUCAGGAGGAAUACCGAUGGCGAAGGCAGGUCCCUGGGCUGAUACUGACGCUCAUGCACGAAAGCGUGGGGAGAAAACAGG